GGUACUAGCUCAGUUGGUAGAGCUUGAGACUCUUAAUCUCAGGAACAUGGGUUCGAGCCCCACAUUGGGUGCCA